ACUCAAAGGAAUAGACGGGUGCCCGCACAAGCAGUGGAGUAUGUGGAUUAAUUCGACGCAACGCGAAGAACCUUACCAGGGCUUGACAUCCUACUGACGAGGUAGAGAUACGUUAGGUGCCCUUCGGGGAAAGUAGAGACAGGUGGUGCAUGGUUGUCGUCAGCUCGUGUCGUGAGAUGUUGGGUUAAGUCCCGCAACGAGCGCAACCCUUACGGUUAGUUGCUACGCAAGAGCACUCUAGCUGGACUGCCGUUGACAAAACGGAGGAAGGUGGGGACGACGUCAAAUCAUCAUGCCCCUUAUGUCCUGGGCUUCACACGUACUACAAUGGCGGUUAACAACGGGUCGCAGAGCCGCGAGGCCGAGCCAAUCCCCAAAAGCCGCCUCAGUUCAGAUUGCAGGCUGCAACUCGCCUGCAUGAAGUUGGAAUUGCUAGUAAUCGCGAAUCAGCAUGUCGCGGUGAAUACGUUCCCGGGCAUUGUACACACCGCCCGU
rnacentral:rRNA from 1 species